rnacentral:lncRNA from 1 species
AUCUUUUAGGUUAACCCCGUGGAUGAAGAUUUCUGCCACCAGAUUUGAAAAUGCAAAAGAACUGUUCUUCAAUAACUGGUUAGGAGUAUCAAACUCGAGAAUGUUUCCUGCAUCAAACAAGACAGAUUUUAUCAGGCAAUACAAUCCACUUUGAACAAUAUUAUGUGUGUAUUCUCAGAUGUUCUAUGUCCUCAUCAUUUUUAAAAUUUGAAUUUCUUCGUUCUGUUAGGAUUUAUCUCUGAUUGAAAGUAAGAUUAAACGUAAGAAGAUUGAAAUAUUCAUUAUGUAUCGUAU